GACGAACGCUGGCGGCGUGCCUAAUACAUGCAAGUCGAACGCAGUGGGGACGGGUGAGUAACACGUGGGUAACCUCCCAUCAGACGGGAUAACACUUGGAAACAGGUGCUAAACCGAUACUGAUGGAUGGACCCGCGGGGCAUUAGCUAGUUGGGGAGGGAACGGCUCACCAAGGCCACGAGGCAUAGCCGACCUGUGAGGGUGAGCGGCCACACUGGGAUGGAGACAAGGCCCAGACUCCUACGGGAGGCAGCAGUAGGAAAUAUUCGGCAAUGGACGAAAGACUGACCGAGCAAUGCCGCGAGAGUGAAGAAGGUUUUCGGAUCGUAAAACUCUGUUGGUAGAGAAGCGGUAUCUAACCAGAAAGGCACGGCUAACUACGUGCCAGCCGCCGCGGUAAUAC
rnacentral:rRNA from 1 species